rnacentral:rRNA from 1 species
GGACUACUGGGGUUUCUAAUCCUGUUUGAUCCCCACGCUGUCGCGCCUGAGCGUCAGAAACGAGCCAGUGAGCCGCCUUCGCCACCGGUGUUCUUCCCAAUAUCUACGAAUUUCACCUCUACACUGGGAAUUCCACUCACCUCUCUCGUCCUCAAGCUUCACAGUUUCAAUGGCAUUUCCGGAGUUGAGCUCCGGGCUUUCACCACUGACUUGAGAAGCCGCCUGCGCGCGCUUUACGCCCAGUAAUUCCGAACAACGCUAGCCCCCUUCGUAUUACCGCGGCUGCUGGCAC